GAUGAACGCUGGCGGCGUGCCUAACACAUGCAAGUUGAGCGAUCUUCUUCGGAAGAGAGCGGCGGACGGGUGAGUAACGCGUGAGGAACCUGCCUUGGAGUGGGGAAUAACACAGUGAAAAUUGUGCUAAUACCGCAUAAUGCAGUUGGGUCGCAUGACUCUGACUGCCAAAGAUUUAUCGCUCUGAGAUGGCCUCGCGUCUGAUUAGCUAGUUGGUGGGGUAACGGCCCACCAAGGCGACGAUCAGUAGCCGGACUGAGAGGUUGGCCGGCCACAUUGGGACUGAGACACGGGCCCAGACUCCUACGGGAGGCAGCAGUGGGGAAUAUUGGGCAAUGGGCGCAAGCCUGACCCAGCAACGCCGCGUGAAGGAAGAA
rnacentral:rRNA from 1 species